rnacentral:rRNA from 1 species
GAUGAACGCUGGCGGCGUGCCUAAUACAUGCAAGUCGAGCGAACAGACGAGGAGCUUGCUCCUCUGACGUUAGCGGCGGACGGGUGAGUAACACGUGGAUAACCUACCUAUAAGACUGGGAUAACUUCGGGAAACCGGAGCUAAUACCGGAUAAUAUAUUGAACCGCAUGGUUCAAUAGUGAAAGACGGUUUUGCUGUCACUUAUAGAUGGAUCCGCGCCGCAUUAGCUAGUUGGUAAGGUAACGGCUUACCAAGGCGACGAUGCGUAGCCGACCUGAGAGGGUGAUCGGCCACACUGGAGCUGAGACGCGGUCCAGACUCCUACGGGAGGCAGCAGUAGGGAAUCUUCUGCGAUGGGCGAAAGCCUGACGGAGCAACGCCGCGUGAGUGAUGAAGGUCUUCGGAUCGUAAAACUCUGUUAUUAGGGAAGAACAAAUGUGUAAGUAACUAUGCACGUCUUGACGGUACCUAAUCAGAAAGCCACGGCUAACUACGUG